AUCUUUUUUUUAUUCAUUUAUGAAUAUGAAAAAUUUUUUCUUUUAUAAAGAGUGGGGGGUUUUAAAUAUAUUCGCAAAACCUCACUUUCGCUCGGUUUGCUUAAAAAAUCAUUAAUGAUCCUUCCGCAGGUUCACCUACGGAAA
rnacentral:misc_RNA from 1 species